rnacentral:rRNA from 1 species
GCAUCGAUGAAGAACGCAGCCAGUUGCGAUAAGUAGUGUGAAUUGCAGAAUUCAGUGAAUCAUCGAAUCUUUGAACGCAAAUUGCGCUUUCCGGAUAUCCGGGGAGCAUGCCUGUCUGAGCGUCGUUUAAUAAUCUACACACCUCGGUGUGGGUAGGGAGUUCAUGUGACCUGACCUUCAGGACACCUGUCUCUCGAUGUGUCUGAACCUUGCUCGUACUUGCUUAUGUACUUGCUUGGAAGGCUCAACUUGCUUCUGUCCUUCUAAAGCUUCGUACUUGCUUGUUAAGCUUGUGUUCUCUGAGUUCUCUUCACGAGUUCUCGCUCACAAUUUUGACCUCAGAUCAGACAAGACUACCCGCUGAAUUUAAGCAUAUCAAUAAGCGGAGGA